GACAUAAACUGGCAUGUUCUGAAAGAAUCACUCUGGAUGCUGUGUGGAGAAAACACUGAAAAGGGUUUGAAAUGGAAAUUACAAGCGCAAUAUUACAGAAGUGUGGAUUUUAGUUACAAUGUCUCUAUGAGAAAGUCUAAAAGUUAAACAUAAGCAAAACAACAAAAACAUCUAAAUACCAGUCUUUAUAGGGGGAGAAUAAUUGACUCCAUUCAAGUGUUCGCUCCUGUUUCAAUCAACUAUGGCUGAAGAGUGAGGAGACAUUUGGAAUAAAUAUGGCUUCUGGGGGCCCAUUCCUAUGGAUCAGCAGCUGGCUUCUGGAGGCCCAUUCCUGUGAAUCGUCGAUCUCAUAGAAGAUAAUAUUGUUAGAAGGCUUACCUCAUUGAUGCUGAACAUCCUAAAAAGCUUCUGCUGCUUUGAGUCACUGAAAAAGACCAAGAAACAUGAAUUUAAAAAAAAAUUUCAAAUGUUAUAAAAUAAAUAAUAUGAACUCAUUAUACCUA
rnacentral:lncRNA from 1 species